rnacentral:lncRNA from 1 species
GAUUGUAAAAUAAAGGGCAAGUUGAGCGAAAAGAAAGGAACCUGAUUGUUGUUGCGAUAAUUCAUUGUCCAGUCGCACGAUUCCUAUUGUGGCUCGGCAUCCUCAUUUUCCUGAACAUACGUGCCCCAAGUCCUGACAAUGCAUCGAUUUUGCUUCUUAGGACAGUUUCUAACUUUGUGGCCUUCUUUACCACAAUAUAAGAAU